GGGUUGUGAGGUUAAGCGACUAAGCGUACACGGUGGAUGCCCUGGCAGUCAGAGGCGAUGAAGGGCGUGCUAAUCUGCGAUAAGCGCCGGUAAGGUGAUAUGAACCGUUAUAACCGGCGAUACCCGAAUGGGGAAACCCAGUGUGACUCGUCACACUAUCAUUAACUGAAUCCAUAGGUUAAUGAGGCGAACCGGGGGAACUGAAACAUCUAAGUACCCCGAGGAAAAGAAAUCAACCGAGAUUCCCCCAGUAGCGGCGAGCGAACGGGGAGGAGCCCAGAGCCUGAAUCAGCAUGUGUGUUAGUGGAAGCGUCUGGAAAGGCGCGCGAUACAGGGUGACAGCCCCGUACACAAAAGCGCAUAUGCUGUGAGCUCGAUGAGUA
rnacentral:rRNA from 1 species